UACGUAGGGGGCAAGCGUUGUCCGGAUUUAUUGGGCGUAAAGCGCUCGCAGGUGGUUCGUUGCGUCGUGCGUGAAAGGCCCCGGCUCAACUGGGGAGGGUCGUGCGAUACGGGCGGACUGGAGGCCAGUAGGGGGAUGCGGAAUUCCGGGUGUAGUGGUGGAAUGCGUAGAGAUCCGGAGGAACACCAGCGGCGAAGGCGGCAUCCUGGACUGGUCCUGACACUCAGGCACGAAAGCGUGGGGAGCAAACAGG
rnacentral:rRNA from 1 species